rnacentral:rRNA from 1 species
CCUACGGGGGGCUGCAGUGGGGAAUAUUGGACAAUGGGGGGAACCCUGAUCCAGCCAUGCCGCGUGUGUGAAGAAGGCCCUCGGGUUGUAAAGCACUUUCAGUGAGGAAGAACGCCUGGUGGUUAAUACCCAUCAGGAAAGACAUCACUCACAGAAGAAGCACCGGCUAACUCCGUGCCAGCAGCCGCGGUAAUACGGAGGGUGCGAGCGUUAAUCGGAAUUACUGGGCGUAAAGCGCGCGUAGGUGGCUUGAUAAGCCGGUUGUGAAAGCCCCGGGCUCAACCUGGGAACGGCAUCCGGAACUGUCAAGCUAGAGUGCAGGAGAGGAAGGUAGAAUUGCCGGUGUAGCGGUGAAAUGCGUAGAGAUCGGGAGGAAUACCAGUGGCGAAGGCGGCCUUCUGGACUGACACUGACACUGAGGUGCGAAAGCGUGGGUAGCAAACAGGAUUAGAUACCCGAGUAGUC